GGAGAGAUGACCGAGCGGCCGAAGGUGCACGAUUGGAAGUCGUGUGUACUCGUGAGGGUACCAAGGGUUCGAAUCCCUUUCUCUCCG
rnacentral:tRNA from 1 species